CAACUGAGGGUCCCUCUUCCCCAGGUGACUCUAGUGUGUGUCAAGUUGACAGAAAGUAACCGUCACAGAGGGACAGCUAGCUACUCAGAGCACCCUCCCUGCUGCAUGCUUUGGGUAAACAAGAAGUCGUCUCUGAAGCCUUGGAGCUCGGGACUCGCUCCUCACAGCCCCAGAGCCAGUCUCUCCUGACUGAUGCCAUCUGUGUGUAGAGAAAAAGAGAACUCUGAGCCUGAACUGGGGAACUCCUGAAGCUACAACCAGUCUGAUUGAUAUUACCUGAUUGGCGUUACCACCCCCCAUUGUGCCCCCCCAGCACACACACACACCCCCAGCAUACCCCCUCUCUGAACUCCCAACCAGUUGUGGCAUGCUGAACCAAAAAGCGCUCUGGGGAAGAAAGCCAUACUUUAAAUCCCCACUGUGGUCUUGCCUUCUUCUUGUUUCUUUUGCCCUAUCCUGCCUCUGGGAGCCAGUCUUGGGGAGGUGGAGGAGGAGGAAACCAUCAUGGGGAGAUGGAAAAUAUUCCUGGUAUUGUUCUGAGGCCGCAGCCUGUGGCUGUGGAGGGAAAAGGGGGGGGGGAUGGGGAGGAGAGGUUAACAAGAUUAAAAAAGCCAUAAUGAGGCCACAGCACAAACCCUACAAUUAUGCUCCCAAAUUUAAUCAAAACAGCUUCCCGCACUGGGCCUGUAACAUAUCUAAUAGGCCCCGUCAGGUUCUGCCUCUCAGGCCCAGCACUGAGAUAGGACAGAGCCCUGAAGUCUUUUUAUAGAGGAGGUAUAGGGUUGGCCUAACCGGGCACCUCCCACCUACCCCAGCCCAUCCAGGCAAGCUCUCACAGACUUUCCAGCUGUGUGCAACUGCCUUUCCUCCUGUUCCUCAGCCUCCUAUGACACAGUCACCAGCUAUGGGUGUUUCCUAGCUCCCUCAGAGAACCCCCAGGGCUAGCUCUUCUCCUAGCCACAUACAGAAGCUUACCCACUGCAUGGCCUUCUGGUAGGCCGAAAGGUUUGCUUUGUUUUUGUUUGUUAGUUUGUUUGUUUGUUUGUUUGGGCCCCGGGUUGAAUUCAGGGCCUUGCACAUGUUUCCCAGUUCCGAUGAGGGAAACAAACGGCACAUCC